AAGAGCAUAGAAGAACCAGAAGUAGAGGAGGAAAAACAGAAGUAGAAAUGGAGUAUAGUGAAAUUACAGGCUGAACUUGACCAAGAAUACCAAGACAAAUUCAAAAGACUCCCGUUGGAAAUCCUGGAAUUUGUCCAGGAAGCCAUGAAAGGCAAGAUUAGCGAAGACGGAGACCGCAGCCCCACCCCUCCUCCUUUGGCAUCUGGUGGCGGGAAGCAGCAGAACUAUAAGCCACCGCAAAACGAAGAGCUGGAAGACCAUCCAGGGAAAGAAUUUGACACCCCCCUCUAACGGCUCCCGCCAGGCCACGGGCCUGAAUGACUGUGACACAGCAGAUCACCACGCCGUCCCCCGGACCCUGUCCUCGUUUGAGUGGCCACCGGGCAGCCUCCGCCAUGGCAGACGUCCGUAGGGACAAGGGUGUGUUCAUAAGAGCAGCCAGUGGGCUGGGCGUGUUCUAUGUCUGUAGGCCUUUGUCAUAUCAGCAUGCUAAACUGCAGCGCAUUCGAAAUGCGGGCGUUGACCAGCGUGGCCCUUCCCCAAGCCGAUGGGCCACUGGCAUUUUUUCAAGCUGUGUGUCGCCCCGCUGGACCGGUCCCUGAGGACCAGCAUUAUUAUUAUUUUAAGGUAAAUGUGCACAGACCCUAACCCUGUGUGAAGCCACAGUGCCAAGUGUUCUAAACAAAUUGUCACCCUUUGGGCCUUUGUUUCCUCCUCUGUAACUGCAUUUUAAAGCUUGUACCAUCUUAAUAUUUGCACCUAGUUUUAUUUUCCUUUGCAAAACGCCACCAGCAGCUUGUGGCGUUGACCGUAUAUAAGAAGUAUCUGGUCCUCAGACCUUCCAUGGAAACUCUGGUAGUGUGCAUACGUUUCUAAGAAGAAAUAUAGAUAUUUCCCCCUAGAAGCAUACGGGUGUUUGUAUAUGCUUCAUAUGUUGUGGAGUCACAUAUAUGUGCAUAGACACACACACACACCCAUGUAUGCACCCCAUGGUAUGCACAGGACCCAUGUGUUCCUGCUGGGAACCUGCUCUCCUAAAGAUCUGAAGAAACAUCAGGAAUAAAGAAACUUCGCUUUUCUGGCUCGGUGAUCUCUGUUAUCACUGCUGUGUAGUUAGGGAAAUCACAAGAACCUUUGACUGAUAUUGUACAUUGGUUUUCAAAUAUCAAUUUGUGGACUCUGGAGUAUUGUUUUGAACUAUUAUCUUAUGGUUGCAAUCAUAUGUUUGAAUUCUGAAAAUGUUUUGUAUAGUAUCUAACACACAGACAUCUCUUCCAUAGUUUUAAAAACUGUACAGUUUGCAUGUGGGAAAUGCCGUCUCCAGAAUGUAUAUAUCAAACCAGUCUUUCCGAGGUGGAGCCCUUCGGGGAGGAGGGGCAGAAUUAGUCAGGCAGAAGAUGUAAGGAUACGGAGCAUGUGGACACGGGUGUUCUGGCCCUGGAACCUAUUUAUAGUUAACCUUGGGAAAGGUUACAGCCCCUCUGGACGCCCACAGAAACUACUUUGUGGGUAAUAUUGAAACACUAAAUUUUUAGUCGGAUGACUGCAAAGCCUUUUCAUACGUAACAGCAUAUAUGUAGUUGGCUUCCCCUCAGGAGCUCCGUAGAAAUAACUUACUUUUAUUUAAAUGUAA